rnacentral:lncRNA from 1 species
AAUUUAUAUAUUUUAUAUUUUAAGAUAGAUGGUUAAAUCUUAAUGUAUUUUUCCAUUUUUAGUGUAAAGCGGCAAUGUUUAAUAGAAGAACUUGGACAAAUAGUCAAAUAGUUAUAUUUAUGUUUUUUUUCUUUUUUUAUAUAAUGGUAAUGUUACAUUAUGGAGAUAAGCCGUUUUUUUAGUGAAAAUUGUAAGCUUACAUAUGUUUAAUGUAGUUUUUCUAUUUUUUUUAUGUUGUGUGUUUACAUAUUAUUGUUAUUUUUAAAUGUAAAAUGGUAAUCUUACAUAUGUUUAAUGUAGUAUUUCCAUUUUUUAUGUUGUAUGUUUACAUAUUAUUUAUUAUUUUCGAAAUUAUAUAUAAUGUUUUUUUACAAAAUAGUAAUAUUACAUUAUGGAGAUAAUCCGUUUUUUUUAGUGAAAAAUGGUAAUCUUACAUAUGUUUAAUUAAUGUAGUUUUUCCAUUAUUUAUGUUGUAUGUUUACAUAUUAUUAUUUUUAAAUAAAAAUGUAAAAUGGUAAUCUUACAUAUGUUUAAUGUAGUAUUUCUAUUUUUUUAUGUUGUAU